AGAAAGGGCCGGGCAAGACCGGUGCCAGCCGCCGCGGUAAUACCGGCGGCUCGAGUGGUGGCCACUAUUACUGGGCUUAAAGCGUUCGUAGCUGGUCUGUUAAGUCUCUGGGGAAAUCUACCGGCUUAACCAAUAGGCGUCUCAGGGAUACUGGCAGACUAGGGACCGGGAGAGGUGAGAGGUACUCCAGGGGUAGGAGUGAAAUCCUGUAAUCCUUGGGGGACCACCUGUGGCGAAGGCGUCUCACCAGAACGGCUCCAACAGUGAGGGACGAAAGCUGGGGGAGCAAACCGGAUUAAAUACCCGGGUAGUCCCAGCCGUAAACGAUGCGCGUUAGGUGUAUCGGUGACCACGAGUCACCGAGGUGCCGAAGAGAAAUCGUGAAACGUGCCGCCUGGGAAGUACGGUCGCAAGGCUGAAACUUAAAGGAAUUGGCGGGGGAGCACCACAACAGGUGGAGCCUGCGGUUUAAUCGGACUCAACGCCGGAAAUCUCACCGGAUAAGACAGCUGGAUGAUAGUCGGGCUGAAGACUCUACUUGACUAGCUGAGAGGAGGUGCAUGGCCGUCGUCAGUUCGAUG
rnacentral:rRNA from 1 species